rnacentral:rRNA from 1 species
UACGAAGGGGCUAGGCGUUGUUCGGAAUUACUGGGCGUAAAGCGCACGUAGGCGGAUAUUUAAGUCAGGGGUGAAAGUCCCGGGGCUCAACCUCGGAACUGCCUUUGAUACUGGGUAUCUUGAGUAUGGAAGAGGUAAGUGGAAUUGCGAGUGUAGAGGUGAAAUUCGUAGAUAUUCGCAAGAACACCAGUGGCGAAGGCGGCUCACUGGCCCGGUACUGACGCUGAGGUGCGAAAGCGUGGGGAGCAAACAGG